rnacentral:sRNA from 1 species
GACAAGUAGAUAAAUGAACCAUAUGAAAGACUACAAUACAAUGUAGUAUGGAUAAUAUCCUAAUUCACUCUAGCUAUACGGAUACGUUUAGUGCAUGGUGUUGCUUUAAUCAGUAAUGAGGUAAGCGAGAGCAGAAAUUUGCAAAAAAGGUUAUUAGUGGUUUGUUAUAUGAGUAUAUAAAUUAUGGGACUAAUCGGCACCGCAAUUCGACAACUCAAGUUGAGCGUGUAGGGCAAUGAAGUUAUUAUGUAUAGCAACAUAAAGACAGAGGUGUAAUGCUAAAGCAAGGUGUUUGUGUCGUUGAAGUACAGAGAUGUAUGUAUAAGAUUAGAAACCAGUACAAGUAGCACAAAUCGACAUUCAAUUAAAGGUAAAAUAAUGCGUUGAUUAAGCGAAUAUCAAUAAAAUUUUCCUACUGUGUGUGAAAGUUGGGAGUAUCAAUCUCUCAUAGAUUUAGGCGAGAGCUGGGUAAAAGAGGAAGUAAGGUAGCUCCUUAUCAGGACUUUUAUUCUCUAUUGAAUGAAAAAUAUAUGUGUAUAACAAAUUAUUAGGAGGA